UACAGAGGGGGCAAGCGUUGUUCGGAAUUACUGGGCGUAAAGGGCGCGUAGGCGGCCUGUUAAGUCGAACGUGAAAUCCCCGGGCUCAACCCGGGAACUGCGUCCGAUACUGGCAGGCUUGAAUCCGGGAGAGGGAUGCGGAAUUCCAGGUGUAGCGGUGAAAUGCGUAGAUAUCUGGAGGAACACCGGUGGCGAAGGCGGCAUCCUGGACCGGCACUGACGCUGAUGAGCGAAAGCCAGGGGAGCAAACGGG
rnacentral:rRNA from 1 species